UACGAGGGGGGCAAGCGUUGUUCGGAAUUAUUGGGCGUAAAGAGCUCGUAGGCGGUUUGUCGCGUCGACUGUGAAAACCUACAGCUUAACUGUGGGCUUGCAGUCGAUACGGGCAGACUUGAGUUCGGUAGGGGAGACUGGAAUUCCUGGUGUAGCGGUGAAAUGCGCAGAUAUCAGGAGGAACACCGACGGCGAAGGCAGCGCCCUGGCCGCCAUCUGACGCUCAGGCACGAAAGCUAGGGGAGCAAACAGG
rnacentral:rRNA from 1 species